rnacentral:snRNA from 1 species
ACGAUGAUAGUUAUAAAUAUGU